GCAGUGGUGGCUUAGUGGGAGAAUCCUCGCCUUCCAUGUGGGAGACCUGGGUUCGACUCCCCGCCAACGCA
rnacentral:tRNA from 1 species